rnacentral:rRNA from 1 species
GAUGAACGCUGGCGGCGUGCCUAAUACGUGCAAGUCGAGCGAACAGACGAGGAGCUUGCUCCUCUGACGUUAGCGGCGGACGGGUGAGUAACACGUGGAUAACCUACCUAUAAGACUGGGAUAACUUCGGGAAACCGGAGCUAAUACCGGAUAAUAUAUUGAACCGCAUGGUUCAAUAGUGAAAGACGGUUUUGCUGUCACUUAUAGAUGGAUCCGCGCCGCAUUAGCUAGUUGGUAAGGUAACGGCUUACCAAGGCAACGAUGCGUAGCCGACCUGAGAGGGUGAUCGGCCACACUGGAACUGAGACACGGUCCAGACUCCUACGGGAGGCAGCAGUAGGGAAUCUUCCGCAAUGGGCGAAAGCUUGACGGAGCAACGCCGCGUGAGUGAUGAAGGUCUUCGGAUCGUAAAACUCUGUUAUUAGGGAAGAACAAAUGUGUAAGUAACUAUGCACGUCUGGACGGUACCUAAUCAGAAAGCCACGGCUAACUACGU